rnacentral:rRNA from 1 species
AGUUGAUAGGCUCCGGCGUAAAGCGUGGUUAAGGAACAAGACACACUAAAGCCGAACGCUUACUAGGCUGUUAUACGCUUACGAAAGUAAGAAGCACAUCCACGAAGGUAGCUUUACUAUACCUGAACCCACGAAAGCCAAGAUACAAACUGGGAUUAGAUACCCCACUAUGCUUCGCCCUAAACAUUGAUAGCUUUAUACAACCCCUAUCCGCCUGGAAACUACGAGCAACAGCUUAAAACCCAAAGGACUUGGCGGUGCUUUAGACCCAUCUAGAGGAGCCUGUUCUAUAACCGAUUACCCCCGUUUAACCUCACCUUUCCUAGUCAACCCCGCCUAUAUACCGCCGUCGCCAGCUUACCCUGUGAAGGUCCCCUAGUAAGCUUAAUUGGUACAACCCAGAACGUCAGGUCGAGGUGUAGCGUAUGGAAAGGGAAGAAAUGGGCUACAUUCCCUGUCACAGCGAAUCACGAAUAAUAAUACUGAAACGUGUAUCUAGAAGGAGGAUUUAGCAGUAAGCAGAAAGCAGAGCGUUCCGCUGAAACUGGCCCUGAAGCGCGCACACACCGCCCGUCACUCUCUCCAAACAUAUUCUUAUGCUUUAACCUAAAACUUUCUAC